UAUUCAUGGUACGUCUCUUGCUCGGUAGAUCAUCAGCGGCAUGAGGACAGAGAUUUUGUCUGCCUGGUUCAUGGCUGUCUCUUCAGACCCUAGAAUGGUCCCUGACGCCACACUGUAGAUGCUCAGGGAAUGCUUGUGAGAUGGAUGGACGGACGGACGGGCAGACAGAUGGGUACCUCUGGCCCUCCCCAGACUUCAGGGCCCUCUGCCCUUGCCAAGAAUUAAGACUGUGGCCUUAGUCCCAUGGGAAAUCACCCCCAACCCUCAGGCCAGGGAGGGAGCCACAGGAAACUCCUAAAGGAAAAGUCAGCCCUCUGGCUGCCCCCAUGGAGCCCGUGAUCGCUGCCCAGGCUUGGGGGCUGGGCACCAGAUGUGCUGCUACAGGGAGUCCUAGGGGCUGCGAGGGGGCUGUGAAUAAUAAACUGCCAAGUCUCUGUCC